GCGCGCGUAACUCAGUUGGUUAGAGUGCGUCCCUUACAAGGACGAGGUCGCAGGUUCGAGUCCUGCCGUGCGCA
rnacentral:tRNA from 1 species